rnacentral:rRNA from 1 species
AUGGCCGUCCUGCGACAACUGCGACUCGUGCACCAAGUCCAAUCCACCUGGGUGCAAACGUUGGAAUUACUUAAGGUCUGGUUUUUUUUAUCAUCGACCAAGUGCAAGAGCUGUGUCAUGUCCACCAUCGGGCCACAACAGCUUCCAGUGCACGACCGCAUCAGCGACUUCUGCGAGAGCUGCUGCACGCCGGCCGCUCAGAGCUUUAGCUCCCUUUGCAUCUGGAUUGAUGCGGAGAAGAAAUGA